UUUAGAGGACUCAAUUUUUGAAUAUGAACAAAACUUCCAAAAACAUUGACACGACCCUGACUAAGAUCGUAGCCAUGAGUUUCUCUUUACUAUUAUUUUUGAACAAGCCAAAAAUCAAUAUAUUCAAGAAACGUUCUUAGUACAAGAAGUGCUUAGAGCAAAAACAAAAUAAAUUUUACAAUGUUUCUACUGUAUGAUCAAAACAUAUCAGAAAUACAAACUAAAUUACUCAAACAAGAAGUAAAACAAUUAACCACAAGCGAUGUCAAUGCACUCUAAGGGUUGAGAGUACCAUUGGUUAUACCCAUAACAAAAUUUACAUGCAAUUUGAUCCACCUCCAUGCUAAAAGUUUAACAUGCACAAUAAUAAGAUUUUCAUUCAAAACAUGCGAAUGAAAAAUCGCCUCAUUUCUUGAUUUCCAAAUUGUCCACAUCACCAUAAACCAAACUAAAUUAAUUACUUGACGCGUUACACGGCCGCAUAAAAAAAGGUCAUCAAAUUGGUUAGCAUGAUUGAUUGCAUUCUUAUGAAAUACACCAAUAGUCCAAAUCAAUUCAAAACACCAUACCACACGGAUCCAAAAAGAGGGCACACAAAGAACAAAUGACUGACUGUUUCAACUUCCCCACAACUUGCUACACAUUGUUGAUCUUCAACAGAAAUGAUUAUUCGACGGAAUAAAUUUUCCUUUGUAGGCAACCUAUCUUGAAACAACCUCCACAUAAAUAAUGAUACUUUUGCUUGGACAAAAGGAUGUCACACUAGGUCUUGAAAUGGAGGCGUGUUGAUACUAGCGAAAACUCCUCCCGUAGUACAAAAUAUGCCUCAUUUACCGAAUAUGAUCCUCCUUGUGUAUUGUUCCAUGACAACUUAUCAGAUACAUUAACUUGCAAAUGAACGUUAGCCAAUAAAAUCGUACAUUGCUCCACCAAUUCCUCCUCCCACGCAAAGAACUGCCUCUGCCAUCUCCACCCUCAAAUACCUUCCCGUCGCAACAUCUCUACCAUAACAUCUCUUUACUAUAAAUAAUUUCUCAUAUAUUCUAUUUUUAUGAUGUAUUUUAAUGAAGCCUCUUUUUUUUAUAUAAUUUUGUAGGAAACCAUCUAUACAAUAUCUCUAUAUAAUUUAGUAAUAUUAUAAAGCUACAAUUAAAGAAUUUU
rnacentral:lncRNA from 1 species